GCCAGCCAGAAGUCCCAUUCCUGCGCCCCUCUCUCUUGCAAGAGACGACGUCUCUUGGCAUGAGAAGACAAACCUCAGAUAUUGCCCCAGACAAUGAUGCUGCUUCAGAAGUGGGGCCAAGUUGGGAGGCCAAAAUGAAGCCAAGUUGAGAGCUAUGGACCAUCUGUUUGAGGAUCUCCCUCCACUCUGCAGGGUUGAGGCUGCCUGGCUGGGGUCCACAUUUCCAAGUCCCCUUUGCGUCUCAGAGAAAGCAGUGACCGGGUUCUGAACUAUGGAAUGAAGGGUCCUGCUCCCAGCUGUGCAAGCUGCAAGGAAGAACGAGCCCCCUCCUCCAAGGCCUCGACGGUCCACUCAGUCACCCACUUAAGAAUUCACCAAAUAAGUAAUGACUAAGUCUGACUGGGAGAAAAUGAAAGCUCUCUUGGAGGGGAAAACAAGUUACUCAUGCAACCAAGAGCAUAUCCUUGGCACCCUCCAUGAGUGGAGCCACGGCAGGAGGGGCAGACAGGAACAAACGGUGGCCAUGAAUCAUGCUGUGUGCGAGCUCCUUUGUUUCUAAGGCAUGUGGUUUCCAGAGAAACCAGGGAACACUGCCUUCAGAGCCCAAGGUUCCACAUCAUUUGACCUGGCGGACCCCUGGAGUACAGGCCGAUCCCGGUGCAGCAAAAACUUGUGCUUCAAGGAGACUCAGACCCUGGUCAAAUGUGUCCCCCAAACUGCAGGGAAACCAUAUUGAACUUUCCGGAUGAUCUGUUUCAAAUUUUUCCAUCUUGACUUGAGGAGAAGAAGGAUGUACUUCCCAUGCCUUAUCAUAUAGGAAAAUAGAACC
rnacentral:lncRNA from 10 species